rnacentral:misc_RNA from 1 species
GAAAUGCGAUAAGUAGUGUGAAUUGCAGAAUUCCGUGAAUCAUCGAAUCUUUGAACGCACAUUGCGCCCCUUGGUAUUCCAUGGGGCAUGCCUGUUCGAGCGUCAUUUGUACCCUCAAGCUCUGCUUGGUGUUGGGUGUUUGUCCCGUCUCCGCGCGUGGACUCGCCCCAAAGUGAUUGGCAGCCGGCGUACUGGUCCCGGAGCGCAGCACAUGUCGCGCAAACGAGUGCCUUGGUACGGCGGCGUCCAUAAGCCCCUCUCUCACGCUCUUGACCUCGGAUCAGGUAGGGAUACCCGCUGAACUUAAGC